UCCCCGGUCGUCCAAUGGUAGGACAGCGGCCUUUGACGCCGCGAAUCAAGGUUCGAAUCCUUGCUGGGGAGCCA
rnacentral:tRNA from 1 species